AUUGAACGCUGGCGGCAUGCCUUACACAUGCAAGUCGAACGGUAACAGGCCGCAAGGUGCUGACGAGUGGCGAACGGGUGAGUAACACAUCGGAACGUGCCUGAUAGUGGGGGAUAACUACUCGAAAGAGUAGCUAAUACCGCAUAAGAUCUCAGGAUGAAAGCAGGGGACCGCAAGGCCUUGCGCUAACAGAGCGGCCGAUGGCAGAUUAGGUAGUUGGUGGGAUAAAAGCUUACCAAGCCGACGAUCUGUAGCUGGUCUGAGAGGACGACCAGCCACACUGGGACUGAGACACGGCCCAGACUCCUACGGGAGGCAGCAGUGGGGAAUUUUGGACAAUGGGCGCAAGCCUGAUCCAGCAAUGCCGCGUGCAGGAUGAAGGCCUUCGGUUGUAAACUGUCUUUGUACGGAACGGAAAGACUCUGGUUAAUACCGUGGGCCGACUGACGGUACCGUAAGAAUAAG
rnacentral:rRNA from 1 species